CGGACGGGUGAGUAACGCGUGAGGAUCUGCCUUCAGGAGUGGGAUAACAGUUGGAAACGGCUGCUAAUACCGCAUAUGGCGAGAGCUGAAAGAUUUAUCGCCUGAAGAUGAACUCGCGUCUGAUUAGCUAGUUGGUGAGGUAAGGGCUUACCAAGGCGACGAUCAGUAGCUGGUCUGAGAGGAUGAUCAGCCACACUGGGACUGAGACACGGCCCAGACUCCUACGGGAGGCAGCAGUGGGGAAUUUUCCGCAAUGGGCGCAAGCCUGACGGAGCAACGCCGCGUGGGGGAGGAAUGUCUGUGGAUUGUAAACCCCUUUUCUCAGGGAAGAAGCUCUGACGGUACCUGAGGAAUCAGCAUCGGCUAACUCCGUGCCAGCAGCCGCGGUAAUACGGAGGAUGCAAGCGUUAUCCGGAAUUAUUGGGCGUAAAGCGUCCGUAGGCGGUCGAUUAAGUCUGCUGUCAAAGACUGCAGCUCAACUGUGGAGCGGCAGUGGAAACUGAUUGACUAGAGUGCGAUAGGGGUAGAGGGAAUUCCCAGUGUAGCGGUGAAAUGCGUAGAUAUUGGGAAGAACACCAGUGGCGAAGGCGCUCUACUGGGUCGUAACUGACGCUGAGGGACGAAAGCUAGGGGAGCGAAAGGGAUUAGAUACCCCUGUAGUC
rnacentral:rRNA from 1 species